rnacentral:sRNA from 1 species
GCUGGGUGCUGUUGUGCACACCUGUAAUCCCAGCUCUUUGGGAGGCUGAGGCAGGAGGAAUCGUGAGUUCAAAGCCAGCCUCAGCAACUUAGCGAGGCCCUAAGUAACUCAUUGAGACCCUGUCUCUG